CCUACGGGUGGCUGCAGUGGGGAAUAUUGCACAAUGGGCGCAAGCCUGAUGCAGCCAUGCCGCGUGUGUGAAGAAGGCCUUCGGGUUGUAAAGCACUUUCAGCGGGGAGGAAGGCGGUGAGGUUAAUAACCUCAUCGAUUGACGUUACCCGCAGAAGAAGCACCGGCUAACUCCGUGCCAGCAGCCGCGGUAAUACGGAGGGUGCAAGCGUUAAUCGGAAUUACUGGGCGUAAAGCGCACGCAGGCGGUCUGUCAAGUCGGAUGUGAAAUCCCCGGGCUCAACCUGGGAACGGCAUUCGAAACUGGCAGGCUAGAGUCUUGUAGAGGGGGGUAGAAUUCCAGGUGUAGCGGUGAAAUGCGUAGAGAUCUGGAGGAAUACCGGUGGCGAAGGCGGCCCCCUGGACAAAGACUGACGCUCAGGUGCGAAAGCGUGGGGAGCAAACAGGAUUAGAUACCCGUGUAGUC
rnacentral:rRNA from 1 species